rnacentral:tRNA from 1 species
GAGCCUGUAGCUCAGCGGUUAGAGCAGUCUGCUCAUAACAGACCGGUCGUGGGUUCAAAUCCCACCAGGCUCA